UACGAAGGGUGCAAGCGUUAAUCGGAAUUACUGGGCGUAAAGGGCGUGCAGGCGGUCUGUUAAGUCUAGGGUGAAAGCUCCCGGCUCAACUGGGAGAGGUCCUUGGAUACUGGCGGACUUGAGGGAUGCAGAGGAAAGUGGAAUUCCCGGUGUAGUGGUGAUAUGCGUAGAUAUCGGGAGGAACACCAGUGGCGAAGGCGGCUUUCUGGGCAUUUCCUGACGCUGAGACGCGAAAGCGUGGGGAGCGAACCGG
rnacentral:rRNA from 1 species